rnacentral:rRNA from 1 species
AUUGAACGCUGGCGGCAGGCCUAACACAUGCAAGUCGAGCGAGCGGCGGACGGGUGAGUAAUGCCUGGGAAUUGCCCAGUCGAGGGGGAUAACAGUUGGAAACGACUGCUAAUACCGCAUACGAUUGGAUUGUCGAGGUGGGAUUAGCUAGUUGGUGAGGUAAUGGCUCACCAAGGCGACGAUCCCGAGCUGGGCUGAGAGGAUGAGCAGCCAAACUGGAACUGAGCCACGGUCCAGACUCCUACGGUAGGCAGCAGUGGGGAAUAUUGCACAAUGGGGGAAACCCUGAAGCAGCCAUGCCGCGUGUGUGAAGAAGGCCUUCGGGUUUUAAAGCACUUUCAGCGAGGAGGCGGUACUCGCAGAAGAAGCACCGGCUAACUCCGUGCCAGCCGCCGCGGUAAUAC